UACGUAGGGUGCGAGCGUUAAUCGGAAUUACUGGGCGUAAAGCGUGCGCAGGCGGUGAUGUAGGACAGGUGUGAAAUCCCCGGGCUUAACCUGGGAACUGCAUUUGUGACUGCAUCGCUGGAGUGCGGCAGAGGGGGAUGGAAUUCCGCGUGUAGCAGUGAAAUGCGUAGAUAUGCGGAGGAACGCCGAUGGCGAAGGCAAUCCCCUGGGCCUGCACUGACGCUCAUGCACGAAAGCGUGGGGAGCAAACAGG
rnacentral:rRNA from 1 species